rnacentral:rRNA from 1 species
UGCGGUUAAAAAGCUCGUAGUUGGAUUUCUGUUGAGGGCAGCCGGUCCGCACUUUGUGCAUGUAUCUGGUUUGGCCUUGGCAUCCUCUUGGGGAACAAUUCUGCGCUUAGUUGCGUGGAUUGGUAUCCAGGACUUUUACUUUGAGGAAAUUAGAGUGUUCACGGCAGGCUCGCGCCUUGAAUAUAUUAGCAUGGAAUAAUACUAUAAGACUUCGGUUUUAUUUUGUUGGUUUCUAAAGCUGAAGUAAUGAUUAAUAGGAACAAUUGGGGGCAUUUGUAUUAACACGUCAGAGGUGGAAUUCUUGGAUUGUGUUACGACAAACUACUGCGAAAGCAUUUGCCAAGGAUGUUUUCAUUGAUCAAGAACGAAAGUACGGGGAUCGAAGACGAUUAGAUACCGUCGUAGUCCGUACCAUAAACUAUGCCGACUAGAGAUUGGAGGUCGUUCUUUUUAUGACUCCUUCAGCACCUUAUGAGAAAUCAAAGUUUUUGGGUUCCGGGGGGAGUAUGGUCGCAAGGCUGAAACUUAAAGGAAUUGACGGAAGGGCACCACCAGGAGUGGAGCCUGCGGCUUAAUUUGACUCAACACGGGAAAACUUACCAGGUCCAGACAUAGUAAGGAUUGACAGAUUGAUAGCUCUUUCU